AGAAACCAACAGGGAUUGCCCUAGUAACGGCGAGUGAAGCGGCAACAGCUCAAAUUUGAAAUCUGGCCCUUGGGUCCGAGUUGUAAUUUGUAGAGGAUGCUUUUGGUUAGGUACCUUCCGAGUUCCUUGGAACAGGACGCCUUAGAGGGUGAGAGCCCCGUACGGUUGGAUACCGAGCCUCUGUAAAGCUCCUUCGACGAGUCGAGUAGUUUGGGAAUGCUGCUCUAAAUGGGAGGUAAAUUUCUUCUAAAGCUAAAUACCGGCCAGAGACCGAUAGCGCACAAGUAGAGUGAUCGAAAGAUGAAAAGCACUUUGAAAAGAGGGUUAAAUAGUACGUGAAAUUGUUGAAAGGGAAGGGCUUGUGACCAGACCUUUGCCUUGCGGAUCAUCCGGUGUUCUCACCGGUGCACUCCGCUUGGUUGAGGCCAGCAUCAGUUUCGGCGGCGGGAUAAAGACUUCAGGAACGUGACUCCCCCGGGAGUGUUAUAGCCUGCUGUGUAAUACCGCCGCUGGGACUGAGGACCGCGCUUCGGCUAGGAUGCUGGCAUAAUGGUCAUCAGCCACCCGUCUUGAAACACGGACCAAGGAGUCGAACAUUUAUGCGAGUUUUUGGGUGUUAAACCCUCAAGCGUAAUGAAAGUGAACGGAGGUGAGAGCCCUUACGGGUGCAUCAUCGACCGAUCCUGAUGUCUUCGGAUGGAUUUGAGUAAGAGCAUAACUGUUCGGACCCGAAAGAUGGUGAACUAUGCGUGGAUAGGGUGAAGCCAGAGGAAACUCUGGUGGAGGCUCGCAGCGGUUCUGACGUGCAAAUCGAUCGUCAAAUCUGCGCAUGGGGGCGAAAGACUAAUCGAACAUCUAGUAGUGGU
rnacentral:rRNA from 1 species